rnacentral:rRNA from 1 species
GACGAACGCUGGCGGCGUGCUUAACACAUGCAAGUCGAACGGAAAGGCCCUGCUUGCAGGGUACUCGAGUGGCGAACGGGUGAGUAACACGUGGGUGAUCUGCCCUGCACUUCGGGAUAAGCUUGGGAAACUGGGUCUAAUACCGGAUAGGAGCCAUCUUUCGUGUGGUGGUUGGAAAGUUUUUUCGGUGUAGGAUGAGCUCGCGGCCUAUCAGCUUGUUGGUGGGGUAAUGGCCUACCAAGGCGGCGACGGGUAGCCGGCCUGAGAGGGUGUACGGCCACAUUGGGACUGAGAUACGGCCCAGACUCCUACGGGAGGCAGCAGUGGGGAAUAUUGCACAAUGGGCGCAAGCAUGAUGCAGCGACGCCGCGUGGGGGAUGAAGGCCUUCGGGUUGUAAACUCCUUUCGCUAGGGACGAAGCUUUGUUGUGACGGUACAUAGAUAAGAAGCACCGGCUAACUACGUG